AACAAUUCUUAUUCUUAUUAUGAGUAAUAUGGAUUAUUUUAAGUUCUGUGCUUUUUUUGUAAAUUGCAAAUGAACGACCAAACGCGAAAAAGUGAAAUAAGUAAAUGCGGACCGAAGUAAACACAAGUAGGAGUCGUGAUUAACUUUAGCCAGAUUACGGAAGAUGAUGGUUUGUUUCACGUAACCUAAAACUAAACGAGCGCGGUGCUAAAUGGUUAAGUAAAAACAAAAGCAAAAAGAAACCGUUAAUUAUUAAAGGAUCGAGAGCCCAUUACUGUUUAAAUUUCUGCGUGGAAAAGUUCAAUUCUUGUCCAUAAGACAUGGAAACAUUGGGUUGCGCUUGCGACCCAUGAGAAGAGCAAGGGAUGGCAAUUUAUGGCAUCAUAAUGUUGCAUAUCGGAGACGUCGUAGCACUACCUGAAGAGGAUACUGCCAUACUUUGUUAUUUCCGCGUGCCCGUAAAGCGAAUGGGCCACUGAAUUGGCGACGAAACCUCCUGCUACUGCAGCCAAUCUACAGCCACCGAACUGUUUUAAGUUGAAGAAAUCCACUGGCACUUGCUAAUAUUGUAGCGAUCAUAUGCCAAAAACAAUGUCCGGUAAUUAAAUGUAAUUUGUCACAUUUUAGAAAUAGAUAGUGCUAUUUUUUAGGGCCAUCGUAUUGGAACAGGUGUUUAGUGACUACCUGAUUGGAUCUGGAGAAUAAAUCUUUCGUUAUUGACAUCUGCACAGAUUAUAAUACUAAUAUUGUAACCCAGUCGAAAUCUGUAAUCACAAAAGAUCGCUGUAGGUACAUUUUAGAAUAAUAAAACUGACAUGGUCAUUAGGCAUUAC